GGCCCGUUAGCUCAGUUGGUUAGAGCGUCGUGCUAAUAACGAAGGUCGCGGGUUCGAUCCCCUCACGGGCCA
rnacentral:tRNA from 1 species